rnacentral:sRNA from 1 species
CUCAACCGCAAGGAGGGGGAUGCCUAAGGCAGGGCUAGUGACUGGGGUGAAGUCGUAACAAGGUAGCCGUACCGGAAGGUGUGGCUGGAUCACCUCCUUAAAGGGAGACCUAAUUCAGGUAGGAGACGAAAAAAAAGUAGUCGCUACCAAGAAUCAAUCCCAAAAGGUCGGAGCGAGGCGAAAUUGGCUUUCAACUAGGUUCUGGGUUCACACAAGACCUGAAUCAGGAACAAGGGCUAUUAGCUCAGGUGGUUAGAGCGCACCCCUGAUAAGGGUGAGGUCCCUGGUUCGAGUCCAGGAUGGCCCACCUGCACAGGUGGCAAAAACAAGAGAAGCGAGGAAUCAGCACCUUAUCUUACUGACAUAGUAAGAGAGAAUGCUGGCUCUGAGUAAAGAGUCCAGAGGAACCUUGAAAACUGCAUAGAGCUAGGUGAAAAAGCCAAAAAAGAAGACCGCAAGGUCAAGCUAAUAAGGGCUAACGGUG